rnacentral:rRNA from 1 species
CGACUGUUUACCAAAAACAUAGGUUUCUGCUAAGUCGCAAGACGAUGUAUAGGAGCUGACGCCUGCCCGGUGCUGGAAGGUUAAGGGGAUCUGUUAGAGUAAUCGAAGCAGUGAACUUAAGCCCCAGGAAACGGCGGCCGUAACUAUAACGGUCCUAAGGUAGCGAAAUUCCUUGUCGGGUAAGUUCCGACCCGAACGAAAGGCGUAACGAUUUGGGCACUGUCUCAACAACAGACUCGGUGAAAUUGUAAUUCCGGUGAAGAUGCCGGAUACCUGCGACAGGACGGAAAGACCCCAUGGAGCUUUACUGUAGCUUGACAUUGGGUCUUGGUACUACAUGUACAGGAUAGGUGGGAGGCUUUGAAACCAGGACGCCAGUUUUGGCGGAGCCAUCCUUGGGAUACCACCCUUGUAG